CUGGCUUUCUGUUUAGGAACUCACUCUAAUAAAAUGUUUGGUCUGAAUUGAAGUCAUGGACCAGCAAAAAUCAUUUUUCAGGUAUUUAGUCCUUUUUUAAUACGCAAGAGGUCAAUUAGAAAAAAUUUUAGUCAAAUGUGACAACUUGCGUAAAGAAAGGCAAAUUUGUAAACACUGUCGUACAAACUACAGCUAUUACAUCCUCAAUAUUUGAAUUAUGUCAUCAGUUGUGGCAUGAUGGGGACAGCGCUUUCAUAAUUAAAAGUUCCUGUUUGAGUCAAUGCUCAAGAACAUCUUUAUAAAGACUGGCUUUCUGUAUUCGACUUCAUUGCUGUGAAAGAAGGCGUGCGAUCCAAUCUGAACUGAAGGAGCAGCGAAAGUAAUAAUUGUGGUAUUAUCUUCUUUUUGUUUAUCAGUCUGAAGGACACCUCUUUUGUGGCGCGCACAAUAAGACGGACAUUUCAAAUCUACUGAGGAAUUAAUUGAAUUCUCAUUUGAACAAGCUUUACUGAGAAGAAGUCGUAAAACCCACUUCGCCAUCAAAAUGAACAACA